CCUUACCACCUACGCCCUAGACCUGGUAGAGUACUUGAUCCUACCAGGAUCAUUUUCCCAAUAGCACCCAGUUAGAUCUUGUUUGGGGUGACCUCUCCUGACCUCCUCCCAGGUUCCCGGUCUGGAGCGGGAGGGGCGGAAGCUGGCGAGGCCAACCUCCCCUUCAGAGGCAGGUGCUCUCCCUCUCCCCUCUGUGCCCUCUCUCUCUUCCCUGACCCUCUCGAUGGCAAGAGGUUUGGUUUUGGUUUUGCUCCUAGGAGAAGGAGGUUUGAUUUUGGUCCUACUCUACAUUCACUAUUGUUACCUGCACUUUGCCACUCAUGGACACUUUUUGUUUAUUUUUUAUGCAUGUGUGCUGUCGGUGAUAGGAGAGCAAGUCCCUCAAGUUCGUGAGGAAUCCACUCUCAACUUGUUAACACAGGGGUAAGCCAUCGAGUCAUACAUACACCCCUUACUCAUUUCUUUUUCACUUACUGUAUGUGAAGCAAUACAAUUUGUCAGUAGAUAAAUAUCAAAGUACCAAAGGAGUUAACUUAUUCCCGGAAACACAGCUCAAUGGAAUAUGCUCUGUAACUUUUAUUUAGCAUAUCAUACAUACAAGUAUACUGAUAUUAUAUUAGGACUUAAUGACGGAUAACAUAACACUUAUUUUUAACUGCAUACAUAGCAUGGUCUUGUCAUAUCUUCUUAUGUUGUAUCUGUUAUUCAUGUACAUACUCUAUGUGAUAUUCACAUGGUUGUGUCGCCAUUGACUUCCUUGUAGGUGCUCAACAGGAGAAGCACUCAAUAGGAGAAGCAGGAGCAGCCGAGCGUUCGCCUUCUCUCCCAGUCCCCUACUCACAGAGCUUCUCAUUUUGUUUUUGUAGAUUUGGUUUCUCUAUGUCUACAGGUUGUUUGAUAAAAAUCCAAAAAGGCUGAUAUGAGAUAAUUAAUCUAUGCAAGUCAUGUGAUUUUAUUUUUCUAUAAUUUAGUUCCAGUCAAAGAUAACAAGUUGAGUAGUCCCAUUAAUUUUUCGCAAUUUAGGUAUUGAAGGAGAUCAGAAUGCUUUUAUUUGUAUUUACAUCAUGGGCUUUAUUAUAGAACAACCACAAUGGAGAAAAUUAUCUCAUAUCUUUUGGAUGAUUUGGUUUAAUUGGCUAUUAUACAUGUUCAAGUACAGAAAUGAAUAAUUGCAGCUCCUUCCCGAUUAGGUCGGGUUAAAUGCUUCCCGAAUACAAAUGGUCUCAGGAAAAAGGCAAAUAUGCAAUAAUUUUGUGUUUUUUCAAAGUAAGUAGAGUGGGUUACUACUAAACGAGAGGGCGGGUAGUCAUUUCUUACUUCUGUAAAUAGAAAUCCAAUUGUCUCUUAUUAUGUGUAGGCAUAAAGUUGGAUCUUGGGUGCUUUGCAAGGCCUUUCUAUGUUGUUUUCCUAUUUAUUUUAUUUAUUGUGCUUCCCUUUUUUGGACUACAAUGUACUGGGAGGUGAGGAAAUGAGAUUGAACUACGUGUUUUCUUUUCAGGUAUAUUUGAAGUUAACGAGUUUCCAAUUCCUUGUUGUUGUUAAUGAUAUGAAAGUGCAACCGUGGUUUUUGCUCCCAGCUGAUGCAUACUACUUUGCUUGCAGCUAUCAUCAGCCAUUGUUGAUGGUACUGUCCCUUUUUGAGAACCAAAGAAAUACUGAGUUUUAGCUCAGAUGUAUGUUAGGUGAUGUUUCAUGCCAUUUUUGUUCAUCGGUCUGGCAUGAUUUGGAUUGGAUCACCUGCGGAGGCAGGUUUCAUCACCUCGGACAGAGGGAGUAUAUGAUGUAAUUGACCAUUAUCACUAAGAAGUGCUCCUCGACACAAUGCUCUAUAUUAUCAUGUCUUUAGUGCAUUUUAUUGUUCCACCUGCGUAUAUAGCUACUUGAAUCUUCUAAUUGCAAACUCAAACAUUUGCAUUUUGUUCUUUGUUUCAGUUGGGCUUUUGCGUCAAUUUUAUCAGUUACAUACAUUACAAAUGAGAAAAAUAUAUUUUUAUACAGAUUCACACACUUCGCAAAAGAGUAUACAUCAACAUCGUCUGCUACCAAAAAAAGCAAAGUAAUCUCUUUUAAUUCUUGCUUCAAAUUUGUCUCGCACGCCAAAUGGCGCGACAGGUCAUCUAGUAUGAAGAAAGCAUGCAUGGAUAGGGAUCAUCCCAGUAACCUCUGCAAAGAGAGGGUGCAUUUAAGGAGAUAUCUUCCUAUAUUUAUCUGCAGCAUCGAUGAUAUCAUGGGCAGUUUUUAUUCUUGUCUAACUGCAUCUGUAUUGUAACCUAUGUUAAAUUAAUCUCUUCGGUUGAGUCAUCCACACUUGACAUUUUUUAUGGAGUAGGAAAAAUUUAUUCAACUAGAACUAUUUAG
rnacentral:lncRNA from 1 species